GUACAAAAGGCCAACCCAAAACCAUUUGUUUGGACAAUCCAAGCAACUAUUGGAUUGGGGCCACAUGAUUACAAAAUUUAGAGCUGGACUCAUGGAAGCAAACUGGACCCGAUGAUUUUGAAUGCACAAUUUGUCUACAAAUAUUGGCAAUCCAAGGUUUAUGUUACAGCCAUCUAAAUAUGGUGUCACUUUUUAAUUACAAACUCUACAUUCAUAAACCAGAAUGAGUAUUUUUAUUUGCAGUCGUUCACUAUCGUAAUCGUUUUAUUUGAUAUAUAUGUAACCG
rnacentral:lncRNA from 1 species